AUCGAGUGUACGUACAUACAUCUAGCAUAACUUGCAACUGGAGUCAGAAUUAACAAAGAAUAGAUUUUAAUUAACCACGCCUUGUAAGUUAAUUUGAAAUUAUAUAGCACUUCAUAAAUACCAAAAAUGAAGAUAGCCGGUCAGAAUUAGUACAAGUACAAAAAAUGUUGAAACUCCAUUUUAAAAACUGUGGCACUAGCGUUGUUUCUAAAAACAGAAAUGUAAUAUAGGCAUGCCCGUCAGG